AUUGAACGCUGGCGGCAGGCCUAACACAUGCAAGUCGAGCGGAUGAAGGGAGCUUGCUCCUGGAUUCAGCGGCGGACGGGUGAGCAAUGCCUAGGAAUCUGCCUGGUAGUGGGGGAUAACGUCCGGAAACGGGCGCUAAUACCGCAUACGUCCUGAGGGAGAAAGUGGGGGAUCUUCGGACCUCACGCUAUCAGAUGAGCCUAGGUCGGAUUGGCUAGUUGGUGGGGUAAAGGCCUACCAAGGCGACGAUCCGUAACUGGUCUGAGAGGAUGAUCAGUCACACUGGAACUGAGACACGGUCCAGACUCCUACGGGAGGCAGCAGUGGGGAAUAUUGGACAAUGGGCGAAAGCCUGAUCCAGCCAUGCCGCGUGUGUGAAGAAGGUCUUCGGAUUGUAAAGCACUUUAAGUUGGGAGGAAGGGCAGUAAGUUAAUACCUUGCUGUUUUGACGUUACCAACAGAAUAAGCACCGGCUAACUUCGUG
rnacentral:rRNA from 1 species